GACUUCACCCUAAUCAUCUGUCCCACCUUAGACGGCUGACUCCCGUAAGGUUAUCUCACCGGCUUUGGGUGUUACAAACUCUCAUGGUGUGACGGGCGGUGUGUACAAGGCCCGGGAACGUAUUCACCGCGGUGCUGAUCCGCGAUUACUAAUUCCAUUCUGUUGCAAGUGAUCACAUCCACUGGAAGGCUUAGAGAUAACUUAGCCCACGACUUCGCUCUUGACCUGCUUGUAGCCCGAUGAGCCAAAUCGUACACAUGGAAUUGAUAACGGCCCAAACUCCUACGGGAGGCAGCAGUAGGGAAUCUUCCACAAUGGACGAAAGUCUGAUGGAGCAAUGCCGCGUGAGUGAAGAAGGGUUUCGGCUCGUAAAACUCUGUUGUUAAAGAAGAACACUCUUGAGAGUAACUGUUCAGGAGUUGACGGUAUUUAACCAGAAAGCCACGGCUAACUACGUGCCAGCAGCCGCGGUAAUACGUAGGUGGCAAGCGUGGUCGGGAUUUAAUGGCCGAAAGCGAGCGCGGGUUUUCUUAACUGAUGUGAAAGCCUUCGCCUUACCGGAGAAUGCACGGAAACUGGGAGAUUGAGUGCAGAGAGGACAGGGAACUCCAUGU
rnacentral:rRNA from 2 species